GCUUGCGUAGCACAAUCGGUAGAGCGUGAGACUCUUAAUCUCAAUGCUGCGGAUAAGUUUAUUAUCAUCGACGCAAUAGAUAUUUGACGACAUCUCAAUUGACAUCCUAGCUUAGGUUCGACCCCCGCCGAUGAGCU